rnacentral:misc_RNA from 1 species
GAUUUUGGUAACUGUUUUCAACUGGCAACACUAAUUUUGGCGAGAUUCUAGCAGAUCGGCAGAUUCUGAGUCUAUGGUACUAGUUAGUGUCUUUUGCUAAUGAAAGUGCUCACUGUAGGUGGAAAUAAAGAAGGUGCGCCUUGCUAAAGCCUUACGCUUGAACAAGGUGCACACCUAGGUGCAUAAGGUGAGUGACUUGUAAAAAUCUGCUGCCUUUCUCCUAUAGAGCUUUG